rnacentral:rRNA from 1 species
UACGGGGGGGGCAAGCGUUGUUCGGAAUUACUGGGCGUAAAGGGCUCGUAGGCGGCCAACUAAGUCAGACGUGAAAUCCCCAGGCUCAACCUGGGAACUGCGUCUGAUACUGGAUGGCUUGAAUCCGGGAGAGGGAUGCAGAAUUCCAGGUGUAGCGGUGAAAUGCGUAGAUAUCUGGAGGAAUACCGGUGGCGAAGGCGGGUCUCUGGGCAGUAACUGACGCUGAGGAGCGAAAGCGUGGGGAGCGAACAGG